rnacentral:lncRNA from 1 species
AGAUUUGAUCCAUUGUAAAUACUUUUAUGUCAUGGUAGAGAUAGCUAAGAUUGUAUAUAAUGUAUUGUAGUAUUUAUUCGUACAGUCAUUGUAAUAUAUUCCCUUUCCCCCCAUUUUGAGUCUUGUGUGGUGUCUGGAAACCCAUCUCACACUGGGUUGAGAUGUGGGAGGGGGGUUGGACUAGGGAAUUGGAUUUUGGGGCUCUCAAACCAUGACAAUGUCCUAAAAGUACCAAAAGAGAAAAAAAGAAGAAACAAACAACAAACCAACAGCACCACUACAAGACAGUUACAUUGUACAGUUCUCUGAAUAUAUGAAGAAAUCUUCAGUGUUUCACUUAUUUUAUGACUGACACAUUUAAAUGCACACUGUCAGAUAUUGUAUUUCUGCAUUCAAAUAUGAUUCAAUAUUUGCUACCUGCAAUCCUAGAAGUAUCCCUAAUGAAGCUUUUUUUUUUUUUUAAUGAGUGAAGGAAAAAUGUGUAAGGUUUGUACUGUGAAUUAAACUUAAAAAUUGAAUAUUAAAUUCUAAAUUCAUUGUAUUGUUGUGCUAUGUAAGCUGAUAUUUUUGAACAAUGGAGAUGAUUUUUUGGUUCUCUUGGGAAAGACAGAUAAUUAACUGUAAAAAAAAAUCCUAGAAAAUUACCUUAGCUAUCUUCAUAGUCCAGAGACUCACCAUAGAACACAGGGACCUUCUUCCGAAAUUCAGUUAUUUGAAAUGCAUAGAUGUAUUGAUCAACACCAUUUAUUAAUGAUAUCUGCUUUUCAUGAUUUGUUUAUGUAAUGUAAUAGAUGUGUAUUGUGAAUUCACAGAGAACUAGCAGUGCUUGCUGCUUCUUUGGUCAUUCAAAAUAUUUGUAAUGUGAGGAAGCCCUUAAAUGUCAGAUUAUAAAGUACUUAUGGCAAAAAAUGUAUCAGCAAUUGGCAUCAAAUUAACCCUUUUGCUAACAAAAACAUGAAGGAGGCUGAGAUGGACUCAAAAAAAAAUAAAAGGGUUGGUUUGUUUGUCA